AAUGUUUUAUUCAACAUCUGAAAUUUAAUAGCUACCAACAUUUGAGUAGGAAAAUAUCACUAAGUUGGUCAAUGAAACAAAAUGUAGACUGUUCAUCUCGAAAAAGAGAUGAGAAAAAAGCCCAUCAAAUUCCUUUAUCUCACAUCAAAGCACUUUUGUAUUAUAAUAAAACAGUUGAUACACGUAAUUUAUAUCAGAGCAGUAAAAUGGUCAUUACUUUCCGAUAAUCUGCUGCUUCAGGAUUAUGGUUAAAUCAGUAGUUAUCAGAGUUGUAUGUCUUUAUAAUCUGAAAUUCUUCAGCCAUUUUUUGGAUGAUGAAGGUCACAUUUUGGAAAUGGUUUAGAAUUUUGUAUUUGUUGAUUUAACAUUUCUUAAAAGAACUAUAUUUUAAAAACUGAAGACACUUUCGUAUUUUAGUUCUUAAUAAUGGAAUUAAUACGUUCAUUUUAACUGUUAUGAGUUUGUUUUCAAACUCGUACUAAAGUGAGUUAUCUUACAGGAAAUUAGAAUAACGCAUCUAAAGAGACCUAAUCUAUAACUUUGUAAUUGUUUUUAAAGCAUAAAAGGAACAAAUAAUUUUCAACAUGUAUAUAAUACUUUCGCAUCUUAAAACUACAUAUGUGAAUGAAAAAAUACGUCUGCGGUAAUUUUCCAGAAAGGUGUUUUAUAAGUUAACACUGAACAUGGAAAUUACUGUCAAGCUGAUGUUGGGGAUUUAGCAGAGGAAAUAUGUAUAUAUAGUACCUUCGGAAAUUUUAAGAAUAGCCAAAUUAGCCAAAUAAGUAAUAUAAAGGCAAGUUUAUCUUUGUCCUUGAAAUGUGGAAAUUCUUUUAUCUGUUGAUGUUGGCUAAUUAUAUCAUUGAGAUAGGUGAUAAAGGUAAUAUUUUUAUUGCCUUUGUUUUAGCUUAAUUUUUCCUUUUCAGUCAUUUUGCAGUUUGAUCAAAUUUGUGUUUUAGUGUGCAAAAGAAAACUAAAUGUUAGACCUGUAACUAUAGUGUUUUUAAAGAUCUAAUAUAUAUAUAAAAAAUCAAAAUCUAUUUCAUCUUAACCUUUGACACAAAUGCCAAGGUUACGGUUUCCUGUAUGUAAAUGAUAACGAUAUUAGAUUAGCAUUCACAUGUGGUUGGUCACUGUCAUAAAAAUUGAGAAUUGGGCCUUUUGGACACAAAUGUAUGUAAAGUGUAAUGUAAUUUUAAGUACAAAUCAAUAAAUUUGUAAUGGCCUAUCAAAGGUGCAGUUUGACCCAUUAAAAUAAAAAGUGAAUGGUUGAAGGUUAGAAAUGUUAAAUGAUUUGGUUUUUAUGUUUUUUUACUCCAGUAUCAAGAAUUAAAAAAAUAUUUAAAUGAUACAGUAAUUUCUAAAUUAAUCCUCAAUAUAAUGGAUUGCAGCUUCUCUUUUAUCACCAACAAGAUAAACGAUUAUAGCAAGUCACAUUUUAAAAAGGUCUUACAUGUACUUGAACUUUAAUGCUGAUGCUGCUUAUAUUUAGUGUUUUGAUAUUUGCUGUAAAAUAUUGCUUGUAAAAUAGGCAGUAGUUACCAGAUUUCAUAUAAAAAGUAACUUUCUGGUUUACUGCUAUAUUCUGCUUAAGAACCAAAGUGAUACUUAAAUACUUGUUUUUAUUUUGGCAUUUUGAACUAAUUUUUGGAUCCUAAAAAUCAUUACUAGGUUGAACUGGUGAUAGGUUUUAUUGCAUUUGUUAUUAUGGUACUAUUUAAAAAAUUACCUGAAAUUCCACAGAAAGGAAAGCAGCCAUGUUCUGCCCAUAGUUAAUCACGAGAUUUUCACGAACUAUGGUAUGACACUUAGAGGCUAGAUUAUGCGAUAGAGGUAUGUAUGUUGAAUAUAAAUUUUCUUUCAAGUUGAAUUUACUGUUAUUCUUAGUUUUUUGAUUAUUUAAAAAUUUGGACUGUGGACAACCAAUUAAUUUACUUAUUUGCUCCGGGUUUUUUCUUUGUUGAGAGGCUUAAGGGGAAACAGACUAUGAGGACAUCUCCAUCUUCUUCAUUCAUGAGAGGUGUGUGUGAUAAGAGUGGAAAUCAGGAAAUCGGCAAUCAGGAAACCGAGCUUCUAAAUGUAGAUUAGCCCUGUAAUCUUGAUAUUUCACUGCAGACCUUGUCUUCUAAUCUAUAGAAAGUGUUUGGAGUUUCUAAUCUCUUAAAAUAUCUUUUAGCCUUUAAUUGUGUGAUAAAAAUAAUAGUAAGGAGUGUCUUACACAAACUGGAGAAUAGUUUUUGUAAUUUUGCAUAAUAAAUAUAUGUGCUGUUUCUGUGAAGAAAUGAUUUGAAUAACAUGACCCUUGGGUGAUAGUGUACCCGACUUUUUUGAUUGUAGGCAUUCCAAAAUAAUAAUCUAAAUGCAGAUGUUGGAAAAUUGAUCUUGAAAACCAGUUAAGGUGUGAAAUUGUAUUUAAACAAGUGAGAUUUAGAAUGCUGCAAUAAACAUUUGCUGGGUUAAAUAAAUAUACUUAAAAUUUAGGGUAUUCAAUGUAACACUUAUAACUGGCUAUCACAACUAUAAAUAAGGAUUUGUAGUUUACAUGCUUGACAUAAUCUAUUUAAUUUCCUUUCAAAAAUUUUUAUAUUUCAAAGACACAAGCUAUCUUCCCCUACUAGAUUGAGUGGCUCAGUACACACUUAAUUUUCACAUUUGGCUGUUAAUUUCUGAAUGUAGUUAACCAGUACAGUUCAAAUUUGAUGAUGUUCUGAAGCUUAUAAAUAAAAACUGUAGUACUUGAUUUUUUUCAUAACAUUCAAGUGGCAUAUUUCUUACAACAAUUAGGUAAAGUUUUGAUUUGUACAAUAUACAAAGUUAGAUAGUUUUGUGUUUUGGAAAACAAUCCUUUGCCUUUUGAAAUUAAGCUAUUUAUUUGAUAAGGAAUAUUUCCCAAAUAAGCAAUAUGCCCUUGAUGUGUACUAUAUCGUGAUCAUAAUCAUUUUAAUUUAGAUUAUCAAGGUAGUUUGCUUAACUUGAAUGGUUUCUGAAUUUUCUUACAAGUGGUAAUGACUUUAUUGCUACCUUAUUUUUGUGGAAGAUUUCAUAUAUUCAUUUCAAAAGUGCUGUCAGGUUUUAUUCUUAUAUGUAAGAAUUGCGUUAAGGACUUAAAAAGGUAACAAAGUCAAUAUUUUAAGAAAAGCCCAGAUGGGCUAAUAAAGAGAACAGUCUUUGCCUUUUAAUAUGUAAGUCAAAAUGUAUGUUACACUUAGAGCUUUAUAUUGAGAAUCUAUGAUACGGCAAAAUAUUAAAGAUAGGUAGGAAUAUGAGCAAAAGUACCUACUUUUGUAGUCUGCUGAAGCCAAACUUGGCUUCUCCCCACCAUUUUUAAAGGAAGGUGGAAUACUGCUUUCUCAAUUUUGGGAAAGGAGAUGAUAUGGCAGAUUACAUUGGUGUCAGUAAUUUUUGAAGUGGUGCAAAGUGAACUCCCAAGUGAAACCCACAGGCGACAGACUUGUACUGGUAGGUAGCUUUUUAAUCACAUUACCAGCCCAGUGUGAAGGAUUCCCUCAGACCUUUUUUUUCCACAAAUAAAAGUCAAUUCCACCAUUCUCUUAAGAGUUAAAUCAGUUUAGUUCACUUACUUGAUUUAAGACUUGUCUUUGUUCACAAUCUCUAUUCUUAUUAAGGUCAAAUUAAAUUUGGAAGCUUAAAAGUAAAUAAUCCUUUUUCUUAUAAAUUGCUUCAUUUGUUAACUUGCUAGGAGGAUAUUUUAGCAUCUUAACUCUUAGAGAUAAUUUUGAAGCAGGUCUUUCCUGCAUUUUUUGAUUAUGAUUAGUCAAAAUGACUAAACGGAUUAAGAUUUGGUAAUAUAAUCAAGAACUUGAUUUAUAAUUUGAAAAAUUGAAAUCUUAGUUAUGGAACAACAUUUGAAUAGGUUAGUUUUAACUUAAAUCCUAAACUAUUGUGCUUUCUAAAAAUCCUUAAAUUACUACACUUUAAUAUUGAACUUAGAGCUUCUAUGAUAGCUCUACAUAGUAUGGUUAUUAUACUUCAGAGCAGGAGUGACUGAAAAAAUACCUGUAGUCAGAGGGCAUUUGAAAUGUGAAAAACAUCAUUUUCCAUGUUUUGUUUAUGGGGCAUUUCAGUCUAAUUAGUGGAAAGUAUGGAUAUGGUAUUUUUGUUACUGUAUUUUAAAAAGGGUUAGAGUUAACUUGAGUAGGUCAAUACAGUUGGUGACAAAAGUCGUUUGAAAUUUUGUCUAAAGGUUUCUAUCACUUUAUCUUAAAAUAAUUUGAUUAAAUAUUGAACUAAUAAUAAUAAUAAUAGAGAAACAUGGACUUGUAGGUAGGUAAUGGAAGUUUUCCUUUACGAGUCUUGAAAGUAGAUUAGAUGAAAGAUCAGAAAAUAAUUCUCUACUGUUAAGAGGUGAUGUUGGACUCUGAAACAACUAGUUCUCUACCUUAAUUGCCCAUUAGAUCUAUAUAGGGAGGCCAGAUUUUAUCUGCUCUGUUGGGAGUUCUUAGGGGCUGAGACUUAUGAAUGGUUUUUGUAGUAACUUACUCUAUAGGUAAGUCUCCAAAUAGCCAGAUUGAAAAUCCUUGGGGCUAGAGGAGCACCUGGGUGGCUCAUUUGGUUGAGUGUCCAACUUCAGCUCAGGCCAUGAUCUUGUCGUUUGUGGGUUCAAGCCCCAUGUUGGGCUCCGUGCUGACAGCUCAGAGCCUGGAGUCUGCUUCAGGUUCUGUGUCUCCCCCUCUCUCUGUCCCUCCCCUGCUUGCACUCUGUCUCUCUCACUUUGAAAAAUAAAUACUAAAAUUAAGAAAUAAAAAUAAAAAAUCCUUGGGGUAAGAACUUCUGCUUGGACUGUGUUGUUCAUAAAUAAGUGUAUGUCUUGGUCUUCUGGUGGAUCGUCAUGUUGAAGUUUUCAAAUAAAGGCAUUUUAGUAGUCUAGUUUUAUCUUUUUCUGUGCAUAAAAUUAUAUUCUUUUUGUUUCUUGCAGAAAUGUGAAUCCUGAGACUGAAUUCUCUAAAGGGCCUGUACAACGUAAUAGAUGUUGGUGGAACCAUUUACACCCAGUCAGCUUGAAGAGUCUCAAAUGGACCCUACCACUGAGAAAACAAGAUGGCAGUCCACUAUGGGGAAUUGAGGAAAAUGGAUUAAUACAAGAGUGCUGUGAUAAUAUACAACCAAGACAGGGUUCUUUUAACAUGGAUUUCAUGAAAUGAAUGAAGACAUAGGUUUCUUACCCAGCACAAAUGGACUUUCUAAAGACUUUUUGUAUCAUUAAAACAAGCACAUUUUUGACAUUUGGAGAAGAAAGAUGGCACAUUAACACAAAUGAUAGUUUGUAUGCCUGGAACUUUUUGCAGUUUGAUUUGUAUGAGUAUGACCUUGUGAAAUGUUAACUUUAAUAAAAUUUCUAACACUUUAAAA